rnacentral:misc_RNA from 1 species
GAGAAACAGAAUGAAUAUUAUUGAUCUUCAGUCUCAUCUUUACAUACAGAGCUGUAACACAACAAACUAACUUGGUUUCCAAUGAUAAGCUGACAACUCAGCUUGGUAAUCUGCACCAUUUAACAAACUUUCCCGCCUCUAUUGAACUAAAUAAAUUAAGUAUUGCUACAUGCCUUCAUUAUCAUACAGAGGUUAUAAACUAUAAAACUUUUAUUGUUGAUCAAACACCCGAUCACACUAUCAAUACUGAUAAAGAAGUUGAUCUUUUGCAGGAUCAGAGAACAAAAUCUAGCCCAGUUUUGCCCCAUCGGCUUCUCCAUUAGCUUGCAAGAUAUCUUUUCCAAAUGCUGCUACAAUCUUAUUAUAGCCACCACUAUCUUUCUUCAGAACAUCCUGCACACUGUUCUAGUAUGGUAUAAAGAAAGUUCCAGGAUAGAUGUUGAGGAAGGAAAAGCUUUAGCAAGAAAACAGAGUAUGAAUCGAUACACAAAUUCCAUGAUGACAAUGUAAAGUUACCAUGCAAGGACAUUCCCAAAAAUCUAUUAAAAAAUAAAGAAAUUCAGUAGGUAAGUCAUGUUAAUAAUUAGCCAGGUCUCAUUUUUCAAUAAUUCAGGAUAUCAGCAAACAACUGUCAUUUGUCAGAGACAUUAUUUAGUUUAGAGUCAUUGUUUUGUCAAAAGGCCUAAUAAUAUAAUCUCACUAUUAAUUAACUCAGAACAUUGUUGAUAAGGGAUAACCAAAUUCCGUCCUCCCCCUCCCACAAGAAUACACCAGCACCAUUAUCACCAGCACUGUCACCAUAACACAAUUACCAUCAUUACCAUUAACACCAUGGACAAAAACACUCUCAUCACGAUACAGCAUGUCAUAAGGGAAUUCAAAUCCAAAUUUAAAGCGGUGAGAAAUUGGAAUAAAUAAAGCAUUGAGUGACAUUUUAAAAUGACAUGCAAAUUCGAAAAAUCUAUAAUUAAGCAAUCACAUAAGCAGCCCUGGCUAAACCCAAAUUACAUAAAAAAGAAAAUGAGAACAGUGAAACUCAAAAUGCCCAAAUUAUAUAAUCGAAGUUGGCUUUCCGAAUUCUUUAUCAAAGUUGCCGGGAAUGGACAGAAUUAGAAUAUGCAACUAAAAAACAAGGAAUCAUGUGAUUGUAUUAACUGAAAUGGACUGUAUCAGAAUUAUAUAGGUUUAAAAACAUGGAGAAAGUAAAUAAAGAAGGGCAGAAGAAAAGAAGGCACACACGAGCAACGAGAUCGGCGUCAAAAGAUUGGAAGCCGUGCUCUUAUCUGACGCUUCCGCCCGUCAAUCCUACUGUCCUCCUUUGGGAUGGCAACGGUGGCGCCCACGAAAAUCACCUUAUUUCAAACCGAACGAUUAACAUUAUCA